CCGCGUCCGGAUGAGAAAUGAUCGGCCCCCGGAAUCGCCUCGAAAAUUGCUCGGAGUCGAUUUAUGUCUCGUUAUUUGGAUCAUCUCGAUCCCACGAACAACGAUAAAUCUCCUCGUCCUUCCCCGUGCCCGCUCCAAAUUUACUGCCCUUUUUAUCGAUACCGCGCUUUAAGUACUCGCGUGAAACUCACUCUCUCUCUCUCUCUCUCUCUCUCUCUCUCUCUCUCUCCAUCUCUCUCCCUCUCUCUCCCUCUUACGCGCGCGCUUAAGCCUCUGCGAAUAGUAAUUGCUUUUUAAUUGGUGCUUCGCGAGUCCCUCUUUGCUUCUUUCUUUAGCUUGAUCAUCGUGAAACUCUUGAAAUAUUUUCUUAACCCUUAAAACUGCUCGAGUAAAAAUAACGAUUUCUUCGUAACGAUAUUUUUCUUUUUUUUUCUUUUUUUUUUUUUUUUUUUCCUUUUUUUUUCUCAGUUAUUCAAGAAUCUCGAUUCGUUGAAACGAUAUUUCGGAACGGUAUGCCCUAUGAAAUGUUGCAAACUAUUAUAUAUUGUCCGUAUUAUGUCAGUGACGGUCGGAAGCUACGAACGGACUGACGAUAUCUAUCUCGGACAUUUGAUUUAUGACCGCUCCGCUUCGGGCUCCCUCGUAAACGUUAUAUUAACAUUCUCCUAGUAGGCGCAUAGUCGAAUUUUCGGAAGAAGAUCUGAGAACUCAUAAAGCGGAUACGCUAGAACUUGGAUUAUCCGGGCGUCGAUUAUUCGGAUCGCCAAUUAACCGAAUCACCGAGAUCCCGGAAUCCGUCGUUAUUUUCGUACGUUUUCAUGCGUAUUAGUUUAUGUCACAUUUAUUCGUAUUCUCACAUAAAUAUUCGUUUAAAUUCGUUCCAUAUACGAGUACCUAGACGUUGGCGGUGCGAGUGAGGGCGUGCUGACGUGAGACGCCAUGACGCUGAGUGCGUUCCAAAAAUACGACGGCACUUUGGCACGGCAUACUCUGCGCCCACUGAGUUUAGCGGUUGUUUACAUCGAUAAAGAAGCUGUUUCAAGUGCCAUUCCGGGCCAUUAGUGACCUCUUACAUUAUCUAGAAAUCCAACGGAAUCUCGGGAUAUCCCAUGAAAACUGAAUAGGCUAACAUGUCUCUUUCCUCAUCAACGAUUAUAUCACAAUAAAGAUUCUAAGAGUUAUCGGUGUAAUUCACUUUGUAUUAAUCAAAUUUCAUUGAAAUAAUUCAUCAAAUAAUUCAUAAAUUUGUGAAACUUGAAAGAAAUAAUUAAUGCUAACGUGAAACAGCUAUACACAAACGUGGGGUCCCGAGAAAAGAUAGUUGUUUUCGGGUUUAUGCGAUGCGCGGAGUGACGUUUAGUGGGUGUUUUCGGUUUCCGUUUUGGUCCCAACGAAACGAGGUGUUAAUUCGUUCGCUCGAAAACGCUGGAUCACGGAGUCGUGUCGACAGUUCUGAAUUAUUAUUACGUUCCACUUCGUCGCCACGUAUGAUUCGUGAGAACGAGCAUGGACCAACGGAGGCUGCGGUGGCGGUGAACGACAAUGAACGCUUUUUCGGUUUUUUCCUUUGAGAGUUCUGGAGAGUCCUUGCCGCGCUACCGGACCGGUAUCAGGACGCAUAAUCGCCUGGCAUUCUCUCUCUCUCUCUCUCUCUCUCUCUCUUUCUCUCUCUUUCUCCUUUAAUCUUUUUCUCUUCGCCGAGGGGCGAGAAUGGACAUUCUGAAGUCUCAAGGGAAGAAAAAAGAAGAAGAAAAAGAAGAAGUAAAGGAGAGGGAGAGAAAGAACUCGAAGUUAUGGCGGCGCCGUGCAAUGACAUCAGUAAGCUAUAACAGGUCCGUACGUCAUUGUUACGUACCGGAGAUUCCAUAGAUGAGACCUUGAUACGGCGUUUAUUAAUGCGAGCAAAGUAUCCCGCUUUUCUUGGAGAAUGCUGCGACCGUCUCGAAUAAAAAGUAUCAAGGAAAGCAAAAGGAAAGAUAAAAGAAAAUUAACUGAAGAAAUUUUAU